CUCGUACAUAAUAUGUGUGCGUUAACAGGUGACAUCAGGGGAUUAUAUAUUGUGGAACACAUUGGGGAAGGCUCCAUCUGCAGCCGUCUUGUAAAACCGCCAAGUCUCUUGUCCCUCACUGGUGUUUUAUUUUCUCAUCCCAGAGGAAGUGCGAUUUGUUUCUCUGUUUCUCGAGUGUGAAAUCUUUAAAUGUAUGAGCAUUUUUUUUAUUUUUUUGCCGCGGAAGUGGAUCUUGUACAUUAUUAUUGUUUCUUAAAGGGACAAAAGGACUUGAAGGAACUUCACUGGCACAACCAGAUUCCGGUGAUGAUCAUAUCAACUGCUGGUGAUGGUUUCAACAUCUUAAUGCCUUACAACAUUCAGAACACACUUCCGUCUGAGCUACCUGCCUGAAAGACCCCAGUCUCUGUCUGAAAUCUCUUAAAAGCAUUUACGCGUAGUUUUGUAUUGUACUCCAUUGAACUUUUUGUUUCAAGAACUAUACUCUCUUUCAAAACUUUCAUGGUUUUCAUCAA